rnacentral:rRNA from 1 species
GAUGAACGCUGGCGGCGUGCCUAAUACAUGCAAGUCGAGCGAACGGACGAGAAGCUUGCUUCUCUGAUGUUAGCGGCGGACGGGUGAGUAACACGUGGAUAACCUACCUAUAAGACUGGGAUAACUUCGGGAAACCGGAGCUAAUACCGGAUAAUAUUUUGAACCGCAUGGUUCAAAGGUGAAAGACGGUCUUGCUGUCACUUAUAGAUGGAUCCGCGCUGCAUUAGCUAGUUGGUAAGGUAACGGCUUACCAAGGCAACGAUGCAUAGCCGACCUGAGAGGGUGAUCGGCCACACUGGAACUGAGACACGGUCCAGACUCCUACGGGAGGCAGCAGUAGGGAAUCUUCCGCAAUGGGCGAAAGCCUGACGGAGCAACGCCGCGUGAGUGAUGAAGGUCUUCGGAUCGUAAAACUCUGUUAUUAGGGAAGAACAUAUGUGUAAGUAACUGUGCACAUCUUGACGGUACCUAAUCAGAAAGCCACGGCUAACUACGUGCCAGCAGCCGCGGUAAUACGUAGGUGGCAAGCGUUAUCCGGAAUUAUUGGGCGUAAAGCGCGCGUAGGCGGCUUUUUAAGUCUGAUGUGAAAGCCCACGGCUCAACCGUGGAGGGUCAUUGGAAACUGGAAAACUUGAGUGCAGAAGAGGAAAGUGGAAUUCCAUGUGUAGCGGUGAAAUGCGCAGAGAUAUGGAGGAACACCAGUGGCGAAGGCGACUUUCUGGUCUGUAACUGACGCUGAUGUGCGAAAGCGUGGGGAUCAAACAGGAUUAGAUACCCUGGUAGUCCACGCCGUAAACGAUGAGUGCUAAGUGUUAGGGGGUUUCCGCCCCUUAGUGCUGCAGCUAACGCAUUAAGCACUCCGCCUGGGGAGUACGACCGCAAGGUUGAAACUCAAAGGAAUUGACGGGGACCCGCACAAGCGGUGGAGCAUGUGGUUUAAUUCGAAGCAACGCGAAGAACCUUACCAAAUCUUGACAUCCUUUGACAACUCUAGAGAUAGAGCUUUCCCCUUCGGGGGACAAAGUGACAGGUGGUGCAUGGUUGUCGUCAGCUCGUGUCGUGAGAUGUUGGGUUAAGUCCCGCAACGAGCGCAACCCUCAAGCUUAGUUGCCAUCAUUAAGUUGGGCACUCUAAGUUGACUGCCGGUGACAAACCGGAGGAAGGUGGGGAUGACGUCAAAUCAUCAUGCCCCUUAUGAUUUGGGCUACACACGUGCUACAAUGGACAAUACAAAGGGCAGCGAAACCGCGAGGUCAAGCAAAUCCCAUAAAGUUGUUCUCAGUUCGGAUUGUAGUCUGCAACUCGACUACAUGAAGCUGGAAUCGCUAGUAAUCGUAGAUCAGCAUGCUACGGUGAAUACGUUCCCGGGUCU